rnacentral:misc_RNA from 1 species
AAGUCGUAACAAGGUUUCUGUAGGUGAACCUGCGGAAGGAUUAUUACAUUCAGUAGCCUAGCUACUUGUUUACACCCUUGUUUUUUUGCGCACUUCACUGUAUCCCUCGGCGGGCUUGCUCGCCAGUUAGACAACAUUUAUAACCUUUUUUAAUCUUCAAUCAGCGUCUGAAUUAUAUUUAAUAAUUACAACUUUCAACAACGGAUCUCUUGGUUCUG